rnacentral:lncRNA from 1 species
AUGACCUGCUGCUGCCAAACGCAGUUUGUCCCAUUUUGCAUCAGUCUGCUUCAUUUCAUAUGGCAGUCCCAUCAGAUCAGAGAAGUCAAACAUUUCUGGAUCACAUCAGAAUUUGAACGAGAGAGAUAUCAAAUAAGACCCAAGCAUGCAGAAAAAAAAGGACCAGGAUGCAGCAGUGGGGUGCUCCCUUUCCAGUCUGCCCCACGACACUGACGUUCUUGGCUGCUUCUUCCCAUUAUGGAUGGGCAGGAUCCUCAAGAAAUGGAUGAUUUUUUUUUUUUUUUUUUUUUCCUGAGUGAACUGCAACUUAUUGAAUCAGGGAAAUCACAUUAGAAUUACGCUAUGGAUGAUGUAUCCUAGAUGGUUAGGUCCUCAGAAACGUAGAGGAACGCUUAGUGAGUCAGCCCUGCAAUUUUUGGUGGAGUAGGUCUAUUCCGGUGUGUGGGUGUUCACAGAACAAUUACGUAAGUGUUAGGGUAGCGAGGAACUUUUGACAUUUCUGGCAGCUUAACUGAGUUCUUUUCAGUCAAAAAUACUCUAAUUGUUGUUCUCUUGCAUUAAACACACAUCAUUGCCUUAACUGGAUUUGGGGGGGGGGUGUGCAUUUUUUGAAGCAUCACUUGUCAGGGCAAGAUAUUGGAGCAGUUUUAUUCCUGAGAAAACAGGAGAUUUUUCACAGUUACAGUGAGACGAACAUUUGUGAGAACCGUUUUAAAUCAUAUAAGAGGGUGCGAAAGUUGCCAUGCCAUAUGCCUGGAAUUUACUAUGGUAGAGCUAAUUGCUGCCACUGAAUGUAAGGGCCCGUCAGCUUUUUCAUCAUCACACCCACCCUCAACACCUUUUUUUCUUCCUUUUUUUGACUUUAAAUUUGCCUGACUUUUUUGCCUGUAUAGUUUUUGGGCUGCGGAAUGAUAAUGCAACCUCUAAACUAACCCUCUGAACACCUUACAUCCUAUAUUCAAGGUGAAUAGGUUAGGUACCCCACUGACGUGGGGUGGAUUAAAUUCGAAGGCAACUGCUCUUCUACGUGUAUUACACGGGGAAACAAGGAAAACUGGUUUGUCUCCCAAGAGCAAGAUACCUAAAUUAGUCAAACUAAAUCAGUGUCCAAAUGACAUUUUCAGGGAAGAUUUCUCUCUAAAGAUCAGUUAGGAAAGAAACAAAAUAUGAUAACCAUUUUCUUUCUUGUUUGAUCCAAGUUGCACCUUUGAUACCAAAAAUCUCCCAUCAAACUAACCAAUGUUUGUUUGUUGUUUUUUUUUUCUCUGGAUAAAUAUUAAAUCUUUCAAGUGAUCAUGACCUUGAAACCCUGUCUAUUCUUCUACAUGGUGCCACAAUGAGGCAGGUCACAACUCUGAACUGUGCUGGGCAUCCAGCUGACAUGCCUGAGUGAUCAUCUGGCAAAACAGCGUUAGUCCAUGGCUGCUGGAGAGUCAACAAAGGGAUGUAGGAUGUUUUCCACCUAAAAAAAAAAAAGUAUAUUUUCUGUCGUCAGACACAGAGGAGGGCUCUGUUACCUGUCCUCUGGGGACAGAGGGAGAACUGGACCUGUAUGGGGGUGCUUGUCCACAUUAGCUAUGUUAGGAAGUCCUCACUGAGACUGGAAGUACAUGAGAUGAGAGCUCCACCAGUGACAGUUCGUGAUGAGGAAUCACUGAGAUAACCUGUGUUCUUCGGGCUCCUACCAAUUUAUUUUUGGCCAAGAAUUUUCCCAAUUAGUGAGGACAACCUCAGCCUAGGUGUUCCGGCUUACUGAUAUGUACAUUAUUCCAGCUCAGACUCUUAGCAUAAGGGGGUUCAUUUUAUCACUUGCCUCUGAAAUUCGCAGAUUCAAAGUUUGAAUCUGCAGUCACUGCAAUCAUCUAAUUGCUUCUCAAAAAAAAAAAAUAGAAAAUUCUGGAGAUCCGCAGUGUGGAUUUAUAUCACUCGUAUCCUGGUGGACUGAAGGGAUUCAUUGUUCUGGUGUGUGCAGGAGGAAUUGCUUAAAUCCAAUGAGCAAAAACAAAGGGACUCUCAGUGCCUCAUACUUCCUCCCCAGGAUUUGUGCAAAGUAAAUAAAGGAACUAAGCCUUCUGCA